rnacentral:rRNA from 1 species
GACGAACGCUGGCGGCGUGCCUAAUACAUGCAAGUAGAACGCUGAAGGAGGAGCUUGCUUCUCUGGAUGAGUUGCGAACGGGUGAGUAACGCGUAGGUAACCUGCCUGGUAGCGGGGGAUAACUAUUGGAAACGAUAGCUAAUACCGCAUAAGAGUAGAUGUUGCAUAACAUUUGCUUAAAAGGUGCAAUUGCAUCACUACCAGAUGGACCUGCGUUGUAUUAGCUAGUUGGUGGGGUAACGGCUCACCAAGGCAACGAUACAUAGCCGACCUGAGAGGGUGAUCGGCCACACUGGGACUGAGACACGGCCCAGACUCCUACGGGAGGCAGCAGUAGGGAAUCUUCGGCAAUGGACGGAAGUCUGACCGAGCAACGCCGCGUGAGUGAAGAAGGUUUUCGGAUCGUAAAGCUCUGUUGUAAGAGAAGAACGAGUGUGAGAGUGGAAAGUUCACACUGUGACGGUAUCUUACCAGAAAGGACGGCUAA